GGUGUCGGCUUUGGCUUCUUCCCCUUGCUCUUAUUGUUUGUGGCUUGCUGCGUGAAGGGGUGCGUGUAUGUGAAGGGUCUCAGGUUGAGAGAGAGAGAGCGCUGAGGGGGGACAAGUGAGAGAGAAGAGAGAGAGAACCGGGCAGGAGCACACCGGGCAGUCGGGCGAAGAGAAGAGUUUCGGGCACUGGCAGAGGCAAAAGGUGAGGAGAUCUGGCCAGUCAGAGGGAAGUUUGGCAGUAACUGAAGAGCAAAGAAGGAAGCCCAGGUAGGAGUCAGUCCUUGGGCUCCUCUCAGCAUCCUGAUUCCUUCGCCAGUACUCAACCACCACCCACUCGGCAGCCUCCAGGCCCGGGACUGUCCCAGGUGGCUGCCGCUUGCGCGGCGCGGAAGAGGAGUCCAGUAAGGUUGCCGCACCACGCGCCGGGGUGCUCGGACUCCAGACAACACAAAUC
rnacentral:lncRNA from 1 species